rnacentral:lncRNA from 1 species
AUUAUGUAGGAUAGAUAUAAAAGGAAAGAGAGUUAGAGAAAUUGUUGAAGGGGAGAGGGAAAAUGAAAGAGAACCAGAUGGGGAGGGAGAAAGAAAAACAAAAAGAAAAAAAAUUACAUUACUUUAUUCUACUUUUUCGAACAAAUUUCUUUUUAUUCCACUUAGAGCAAGUCCAACAGCAGGAGGUGGACUCGGGCUGGGGGGG